CUGAGAGUUUGAUUCUGGCUCAGAACGAACGCUGGCGGCAGGCUUAACACAUGCAAGUCGAACGAUAUAGUGGCAGACGGGUGAGUAACGCGUGGAAACGUGCCUUUCACUACGGAAUAGCUUUUGGAAACGAAAGGUAAUACCGUAUACGCCCUCCGGGGGAAAGAUUUAUCGGUGAAAGAUCGGUCCGCGUUAGAUUAGCUAGUUGGUGAGGUAACGGCUCACCAAGGCUACGAUCUAUAGCUGGUCUGAGAGGAUGAUCAGCCACACUGGGACUGAGACACGGCCCAGACUCCUACGGGAGGCAGCAGUGGGGAAUAUUGCACAAUGGGCGCAAGCCUGAUGCAGCCAUGCCGCGUGAAUGAUGAAGGCCUUAGGGUUGUAAAAUUCUUUCGCCAGGGAUGAUAAUGACAGUACCUGGUAAAGAAGCCCCGGCUAACUUCGUGCCAGCAGCCGCGGUAAUACGAAGGGGGCUAGCGUUGUUCGGAAUUACUGGGCGUAAAGCGCACGUAGGCGGACUUUUAAGUCAGAUGUGAAAUCCCAAGGCUCAACCUUGGAACUGCAUUUGAAACUGGGAGUCUAGAGAUCAGGAGAGGUUAGCGGAAUACCGAGUGUAGAGGUGAAAUUCGUAGAUAUUCGGUGGAACACCAGUGGCGAAGGCGGCUAACUGGACUGAUACUGACGCUGAGGUGCGAAAGUGUGGGGAGCAAACAGGAUUAGAUACCCUGGUAGUCCACACCGUAAACGAUGAGUGCUAGUUGUCUGCAGGCAUGCCUGUAGGUGACGCAGCUAACGCAUUAAGCACUCCGCCUGGGGAGUACGGCCGCAAGGUUAAAACUCAAAGAAAUUGACGGGGGCCCGCACAAGCGGUGGAGCAUGUGGUUUAAUUCGAAGCAACGCGCAGAACCUUACCUACGCUUGACAUGCCCGGACGAUUUCCAGAGAUGGAUCUCUCCCUUCGGGGCCGGUGCACAGGUGCUGCAUGGCUGUCGUCAGCUCGUGUCGUGAGAUGUUGGGUUAAGUCCCGCAACGAGCGCAACCCUCAUCCUUAGUUGCCAUCACGUUUGGGUGGGCACUCUAGGGAAACUGCCGGUGCUAAGCCGGAGGAAGGCGGGGAUGACGUCAAGUCCUCAUGGCCCUUACGCGUAGGGCUACACACGUGCUACAAUGGCAGUGACAAUGGGAUAAUCCCCAAAAGCUGUCUCAGUUCGGAUUGUCGGCUGCAACUCGCCGGCAUGAAGUUGGAAUCGCUAGUAAUCGUGGAUCAGCAUGCCACGGUGAAUACGUUCCCGGGCCUUGUACACACCGCCCGUCACACCAUGGGAGUUGGAUCUACCCGAAGAUUGUGAGCUAACUUCGGAGGCAGCAAGCCACGGUAGGUUCAGCGACUGGGGUGAAGUCGUAACAAGGUAGCCGUAGGGGAACCUGCGGCUGGAUCACCUCCUUU
rnacentral:rRNA from 1 species